rnacentral:rRNA from 1 species
CCUACGGGGGGCUGCAGUAGGGAAUAUUGCUCAAUGGGGGAAACCCUGAAGCAGCAACGCCGCGUGGAGGAUUAAGGUUUUCGGAUUGUAAACUCCUUUUGUUAGAGAAGAUAAUGACGGUAUCUAACGAAUAAGCACCGGCUAACUCCGUGCCAGCAGCCGCGGUAAUACGGAGGGUGCAAGCGUUACUCGGAAUCACUGGGUGUAAAGAGCGCGUAGGCGGGAUAGCAAGUCAGAUGUGAAAUCCUAUGGCUUAACCAUAGAACUGCAUUUGAAACUGUUAUUCUAGAGUAUGGGAGAGGUAGGUGGAAUUCUUGGUGUAGGAGUAAAAUGCGUAGAGAUCGAGAGGAAUACUCAUUGCGAAGGCGACCUGCUAGAACAUAACUGACGCUGAUGCGCGAAAGCGUGGGGAGCAAACAGGAUUAGAUACCCUUGUAGUC